rnacentral:lncRNA from 1 species
GGCAUGGCCAUUGUGUCAAUGGCUCAGGGAGACUUCAAGAUCUUCGCUGGAACCUCUAAGGAUUGGAAUGUUCGAUUCAGCUUCAGUGUGAGCAGCUGUCAGGGCAUCUUUCUUGGAGAGCAUGUCCAUGCCUGGGUCUAUUAUCUUGUCCAAAUAGAUCGUCUGCCCAGGCAGACACAGCCUUUGUCAUCUUUGCUUCUUGUUUCCUGGGUUUCCUAGUACUGUCAAAUGUGACCUUGUGCCUCAGAAUCAUCAUAGACGCUUGGAAAUGGGAGAGAUCUUCUUAUCUCGUUGCUGAUCCAAUACCACAGCAUACACAUGGGGAAACUGAGUCGGUGAUGAACUAUUCACUGGCAGUGCCCCCCCGCUCUGAAUUGGGUUUUAAGUGAUGACAAGUCGGCUGAGCCUCAGGUUUAGAGGAAACACCGUGUAGGAGCAGGAGCGAACGUUUGCUCUGUUCCCGUGGAGCCCAUCAUCUACCUGAGACAACAAGGCAGAUGUCCGCAUAAACGCCAGGGCUGUCCGUGCUCAGGGGCAAAUCAGUGGAAUAGGUAAUACAAAGAGAAAGGCAGGUGAGAGCUCAAUGGGCUAACACGGUCAAGGUAGGCUUCCUGGGGGAAGAGGUAUUUACCUGGCCCAUAAAGAAUAGGUUGAAGCUGGGCAUGGUGGCUCAAGCCUGUAAGCUGAGCACUUUGGGAGGCUGAGGCGGGAGGACUGCUUAGGUCCAGGAGUUCGAGAUCAGCCUGGGCAACAUUGCAAGACUUUAUCUCUACUAAAAAUUAAAAACUUAGCCAGGCAUUGUGGUACACACCUGUAGUCCCAGCUACUCGGGAGGCUGAAGCAGGAGGAUUGCUUGAGUCUAGGAGUUUGAGGCAGCAGUGAGCUAUGAUUGCACCACUGUACUCUAGCCUGGGUGACACCGCAAGACCCUGUCUUAAAAAAAUAAAAAAGGAUUAAGUUUGCCUGGUUUUUUCCAGGAAUGAGUUAGGCAUGGAGUCAGGAUAAGGAGAACAUGACUCAGUGUCACUAGAUAAGGACUUGGUAGAGGCAGAGAAGAGUGGAGAAUGAGGGCGGGAAGGAAAGUGAAGCUGUUAUGUUUAGGGUGGUUGUUCAUUAGUUGCUUGAUGUAAAGUUAUGCUUGCCUCCUUAGGUCCCAGAAACACAGGCCUGGGUAACUUGUCCUUACCCUUUUGUCCUUGUCUGUGCCUGGAUCAUGAGAACCAAGAUUGGAGCUUUUGUUUGGGUCAGGGGUUAUGACAGAUGAGAAGCAUCUAUCCGUUCCACCCAGCUACCCUUUG